CUUGGACAGAUAGUGAGAAGUGUUCGAGUUGAUUUAGCAGCCUUCAAUUCUCUUCAUUUUCCCCUCGUCGCUUCCCUCAUCCGUCUUUUCAGGUUGACUAUCCUAAACCUGGCCGAAAUUUGUGUUUCUGGAGCUUUCCAUGGAUAUGAUGAAGCGAAGUCGGUCAGUCGCAUUAAAAUGAGGCAGAGAGAGAGACAGAUACAGAAGAGAGACAGAGGCAGAGAGAGAGAGAGAGACAGAGAGAGAGAGCGUUAGAGAGACAGAGAGAGAGACAGAGAGAGAGAAAGAGAGAGAGCGUUAGAGAGAGACAGAGACAGAGAGAGAGAUAGCGUUGGAGAGAGAGAGACAGAGAGACAGAGAGAGAAAGCAUUACAGAGAGAGACAGAGAGAGAGAGCGUUAGAGAGAGAGACAGAGAGAGAGAGCGUUAGAGAGAGACAGAGACAGAGAGAGAGAGCAUUACAGAGAGAGAGACAGAGAUAGCGAAACAGAGAACAAGAGAGAGAGACAGAGAGAGAGAGAGAAACAGAGACAGAGAGAGACAGAGAGAUGUAUACAGAGAAAGAGAAACAGUGAGAGAGAGUUAGAGAGACAGAGAGAGAGAGAGAGAGAGAGAGAGUUGUUAGAGAGAGACAGAGACAGAGAGAGAGACAGCGUUAGAGAGAGAGUUAGAGAGAGAGACAGAGAGAGAGACAGCGUUAGAGAGAGAGACAGAGAGAGAGAGUUAGAGAGAGAGACAGAGAGAGAGAGAGAGUUAGAGAGAGAGACAGAGAGAGAGAGAGAGUUAGAGAGAGAGACAGAGAGAGAGAGAGAGAGAGAGAGAAACCAAUCCUACUUCUCUCUUAUGUGGUACUUGAGGUUACUGUUCUUCCUCACACUGUGUGCCCCUUCCAGCUAGUGUUCUUUCAGCAAAGAGCACACACACACACACACACACACACACACACACACACACACACACACAACACAAAACAGAAAUUUACCGCCGACUGUUGCAAAGCCCCGACACCGGAGACUCCUUACUCGUAAACGUAACACGAACACAUCACUGUGGCCUGUCCCUGAGAACGAGCUGUUACUAUAGAAACGAUCAUUAAUACAAAGCUGUGAUUUGCAGCUGUGCUACUGUCAGAGCUGCUGUUCAAGAAAACGAACCCACACCUUCCGACCAAUCAGAGUCCAGAAUCCAACAUCGCCGUGGGAUAAAACCACGCUCGGAAACCAUCAGACUCUGCCAUAAACCAAACGCCUCAUUCCCAUCAGGGAGAAUUUUUUGUUUUCUUUUUGUUUGAGUAGAGACAUAGUGCCAAGUUUCAUGUUUGCAACACACACACACACACACACACCACUCAUAUUCCACCUACGUCACGGAUUAACACAAUCUGACUGAGCACUGACACACACAAACACACAUGCUGGAUUUUUCUAUCUUUGUGAGGACUUUCCACUGCCAUAAUUUAACACUGUUUUUUUUGUGAGGACCGGGUGAUUUGUGAGGACGUUUGACAUUGUGAGGACAUUUGGUCCUCACAAAGUGCGAAAUACAUGCACACACACACACUAUGAGUCUGUCAGCUCUCAGGGUCUUGCUUAUCAGCGUGAGUAGGUGGGAGACUCAGGCCUCCAUAACCUUGUCCACAUAAAUCGCAUUUAUCGCCACUCUGCCCUUCCUUUCUCUCCGUUUCUGCCAUACCGCCAUCGUUAAAUCACGGCUCGUUCUCCGACACGUUUAACCGCUUCGUCACACACUCCUCCGCCACCUCAUGUCCUUCGUCCUCCUCCGCAACCCAGUCACGCAGCCUGCUGGAUCAUAAAACCGUGAUUGCGCCUCCAUGCUGAUUAAUGGCCCUGGUUUUUUUGUGUGUGUUUUUUCCCCCCCGUGGCAUGGACGAUGCCGCAGAGCCAAAGUCCAUCCUCAACGAAGGCCGGCGUCGCAAUAAACGACGGUUAGGUCCUUCCUGUAUGUCAGCUUCAGCACAGCGGGCUGUUCUCCAUGCUCCUCAGUAUGCUAACAAGCCUUCAUUGGAGGCCAGUGAACUCUAAUAAAGAGCGACGGGGAGUGACCCGGCGGGUCAGGCGUCGACCCGACGGCCUCGGGCGCUUGCUCUGACUCUGAACUUACUCUCGAUUUAGGAGUUGCAGAUGAAGCGUUUUUCACAUCUGCUCCUCUUCCUGUUUUUCCGCAAAAAGAAGAGAGAAGCGACACUUUCUGCCGCUUUUUAUUCUCUCGCUCUCCGAGUCUGAGUCACGUUUCGAUUCACUCUCUGGGUGAUUCAUUCAUAUGUUUCGGAACGAGGCUCGACUGACAGGAAAUCCCAAAACCCGUGUCUAAUAAACGUCCUUGCUAAAAAAAAAAAAAAAAAAAAAGUCGAUCGUUUAAAAAAAAAAAAACAGUCGUUUAUCUCUCGAUGCGAAACGAGAAAGCGAUCCACGCUAGCAUGACGCGACUCCUGGCGAUCGAAGGACGGUGCGUUAUUACCCAUAAUGCACCGUGAGCAUGAGACGGUUCCUUUCCCGUGUGGUAAAAAAAGCUGUCGUUUUUAGCUCGGGCGUUCUGUUCUGAUCCGUUUCUAUAGCGACGGCUCGUUCGCAGGGACGUGUACGGCGGGUGCCACACGUAGCACGCGUGAUCGCCGACGUGGUGGAGUUUCCCGUAAGGAGGUGUUUAUUUAACGUGUAUGGAAGGAGUCUCCGGUGUCAGAGGUAAAGCUGAACAUCUAUCACAGGUUUAAAUUAUUAGCGAGGCUUUCAUCACGUGACAAGUUAAUAAAUAAUAAAUAUUCCAUAGUUAGCGUGAGGUUUAAUAAGGAAGGGUUGAGCCUCGGGCUUUUGCAGCGCGGCGCAGUUUCAGUUCAGCUCCUUUUAAUGAUAAUAAUAAUAAUAAUAAUAAUAAUCAGAGAAGCCUUUCUGUGACACUCGGUUUCAUUUCAUUUCCUUAAUUACGCUUCCUCGUUUUCCUUUCCUCAUGACAAAGCUUCAAGGAGGACAGAGGACUCCAUGCCAGGCGUAUCAGCUGAACACGUCCUCGGCUUUAAAUAGUGUCCUCUUCGUACAGCACUACUAACCGCUCACUGUACACACCGUUUACACCGUGCACACACGUGAACACACGUGAACACACGUGAACACCGUUUACACCGUGAACACACGUGAACACCGUUUACACCGUGCACACACGUGAACACACGUGAACACCGUUUACACCGUGUACACACGUGAACACACGUGAACACCGUUUACAGUGUAACUACAACAACACGGUGUAUAUACAACUCCACUAAACAUACAUUAACCUCUGUGAGGAACAACCAACUGUGUGUGAGUGUCUCUCUCUGUCUCUGUCUGUCUCUCUCUCUGUCUGUCUGUCUCUCUCUCUCUCUCUCUCUCUGUAUCUCUCUCUCUCUCUCUCUCUCUCUGUCUGUCUGUCUCUCUCUCUCUCUCUCUCUCUCUCUCUCUCUGUCUGUCUGUCUCUCUCUCUCUCUCUCUCUGUAUCUCUCUCUCUCUCUCUCUCUCUCUCUCUCUCUCUCUGUAUCUCUCUCUCUCUCUCUCUCUCUCUGUCUGUCUGUCUCUCUCUGUAAAUAUCUGUCUUUCUCUGUCUGGCUCUCUCACUCUUUCAUGCUGUCUCUCUCUCUCUCUCUCUCUCUUUGUAUAUAUCUCUCUGUCUGUCUCUCUGUCUCUCUCUCUCUCUCUUUGUAUAUAUCUCUCUGUCUCUGUCUGUCUCUUUCGUCCUCUCUUGCUGUCUGUCUCUCUCUUCGUUUCUCUCUCUCUCUCUCUUUGUAUAUAUCUCUCAGUCUUUCUCUGUCUGUUUCUCUCCCUUUAAUAUGCUGUCAGUCUCUCUCUCUCUCUCACUCUCUCUGUCUCUCUCUCUGCAUAAAUCUCUGUUUUUCUCUGUCUUUGUCUCUCUCUCUCGCUCUCUCUCUCUCUCUCUCUCUCUCUCUCUCUCUCUCUCUGAUCCCUCUCAUGUGCCCUGGUUUAUCUGAGUGAUUCGCAAAAUCUCGGCUAACGUGGCGCCGAUCCAACUCUGUUCACUAGAUAAGAGAUUAAAGUGUCUGAUCAGCACAGACACUCCGGCUAUAUAUAUAUAUAUAUAUAUAUGUGUGUGUGUGUGUGUGUGUGUGUGUGUGUGUGUGUGGUGAGUGUUUCAGAGUCUCAGAGUCCAUAAAGAAAGUGUUCUUCACAUUGUUUUAGACGUGCUCGUAUCAGCAUCUGUCUGUCGUCUGUCUGUCUGUCUGUCAGUCUGUCUGUCUGUCUGUCUGUCUGUCUGUCUGUCAAGUCCCUGUUUGCGCUCUCUCUGUCUCGGUGUGCUGAAUCGAGCUGUCUAUCCAUAAAGCAGCCUCCGGAGUUCCUGAUUCCUCUUAUUAAAAAAAAAACAUCACAAUACCUGUGCUCUCUCAGAAAAGUGUAUUGUGACAUAAUUUAUCACAACAUCAUCAUCAUCUCUCUCUCUCUCUCCUCACUCUCUCAGCCCUCUAUCACACCGUCUUCUGUGGAAACUUAUUUCAUACACGGUACAGCCAAAAGUAUGCGGACACCUGAACAUCACACCCGUUAAUGGUUCUUCCCCAAACUGUAGCCGCAAAGUCAGAAGCUCACAAUCGUGUAGAGCGUCUCUGUACGCUGUAGCGUUAUAAUUUCCCUUCAGCGGAACUAAGAGUCCCCGA
ensembl:lncRNA